rnacentral:rRNA from 1 species
AGUGAACGCUGGCGGUAGGCCUAACACAUGCAAGUCGAACGGCAGCACAGUAAGAGCUUGCUCUUAUGGGUGGCGAGUGGCGGACGGGUGAGGAAUACAUCGGAAUCUACUUUUUCGUGGGGGAUAACGUAGGGAAACUUACGCUAAUACCGCAUACGACCUACGGGUGAAAGCAGGGGAUCUUCGGACCUUGCGCGAUUGAAUGAGCCGAUGUCGGAUUAGCUAGUUGGCGGGGUAAAGGCCCACCAAGGCGACGAUCCGUAGCUGGUCUGAGAGGAUGAUCAGCCACACUGGAACUGAGACACGGUCCAGACUCCUACGGGAGGCAGCAGUGGGGAAUAUUGGACAAUGGGCGCAAGCCUGAUCCAGCCAUACCGCGUGGGUGAAGAAGGCCUUCGGGUUGUAAAGCCCUUUUGUUGGGAAAGAAAAGCAGCAGGUUAAUACCCCGCUGUUCUGACGGUACCCAAGGAAUAAGCACCGGCUAACUUCGUG